CAGCGGAGUGACAGGUAUCGAUCUGACACCGGGGUGAGUAAGGAAGAGGAUAAAAAGAUAGAGCCACACGAUUGGAAUCGAAAAUUAUAACAUUCUCAGUCCUAAAUGUUUCUUAUGCAUCUAUUAUUAAAUUGAACUUAAAUUAAUCUUAAACUAGUGAACCUAGGUGCUAAAUAUUAAAAUUAACCGUGAAAUUGUUUGAGCCGGUAAGCUGAGAUCACUUAAAACUAUCUUAAACGAAACUUAAUUGCUAUUAGUUAUAACUAGGUUACCCACAACAAUAACACCAGCUUUGCAGUAGUGCCGCAAUUCUAUUAGACACUACAAUCGGAUAUUGCCGUCAAUUGCGUUUCAAAGGUCACGAGAGGAUUAAACCAUAUUAAUCUUACCAUACGAAAGCCAAUCGGACAACCACAAUAAUCAGGUCGAGAACCCACUUAAAUCCCAGCCGGGAGUUAUAUGCUAAAGGAACUAAACGUAAGUCUUACCGGCUAAAAUUACAAUCUAAACUUACAUCUAUAAAGCACAAAUACUGAAUUUAAUUGAUACUUUUAUGAAACACAAAAUUGAUAACUAAUAUUGAUCACAAAUGUCCUGCAUCUUACAGGAAAAUUAUAUUCUCCCAAAACCGAAUAUUGCGUUUUAUUGCCGUCGGUGG